rnacentral:rRNA from 1 species
UACAGAGGGGGCGAGCGUUGUUCGGAAUUACUGGGCGUAAAGGGCGCGUAGGCGGCCUGUUAAGUCAGACGUGAAAUCCCUCGGCUCAACCGGGGAACUGCGUCUGAUACUGGCGGGCUUGAGUUCGGGAGAGGGAAGCGGAAUUCCGGGUGUAGCGGUGAAAUGCGUAGAUAUCCGGAGGAACACCGGUGGCGAAGGCGGCUUCCUGGACCGACACUGACGCUGAGGCGCGAAAGCUAGGGGAGCAAACGGG